rnacentral:lncRNA from 1 species
GAAGGGCUGCUGGAGCGCGGCCAGAGCGGACGCCGAGGCCGAGGAGGCGCCGAGAGCGAGUGAGAGCUGCUAGCCAGUUGUCACCUCUCACAGAGAGGUCCACAUUUGCUGAAAUGUAACUCUUAUCUCAUGCACUGGGAGUGAUGAACUUCACUAGGAAAUCAUCGUUCUUUCUGGAAUUAGACGAUAUAAGCUGCAGCUCAGAAUCAGAGGAGCUUUAAUAUAUAGUUGACACUUGAACAACAUGGAUCUGAACUACACAAGUCCACUUAUUGGUGGAUUUUCUUCAGCCUCUGCCACCCUUGAGACAACAAGACCAAUACCUCCUCUUUUUCCUUCUCCUCAGCCUACUCAACUUGAAGAUGGUGAGAAUGAAGACCUUUAUGAUCAUCCACUUCUACUUGUUGAAUAGUAAAUAUAUUUUUUCCUUAUGGUUUUCUUAAUAACACUUUCUUUUCUCUUGAUUACUUUAUUGCCAGAAUACAGUACAUAGUACAUAUAAUAAGCAAAGUAUGUAUUAGUUUACUGUUUAAGUGAUAGGUAAGGCUUCCACUCAACAGCAGGCAACAGCCAGGUGUUGUGACACAUGCCUGUAAUCCUAGCAUUUUGGGAGGCCGAGGUGGAGGAUCGCUUGAGCCCAGGAGUUCAAGACCAGCCUAAGUAACAUAGUGAGACCCCCAUCUCCACAAAAAAUUAAAAUACCUAAUCAUGGUGGUGCAUGCCUGCAAUCCCAGCUACUCAGGAACCUACAAUAGGAGCCAAAAAGGUGGAGGUUACAAUGAGCCAUUAUUGCACUACUGCACUGCACUCCUGCCUGGGAGACAGAGUGAGACCUUGUCUCAAAACACUACAACAAACAACAACAACAGCAACAAAAAUCAGUAGGUAUUAAUAGUUAGGUUUUUUGGGAGUCAGAAGUUAUACACAGAUUUUGACUGUGCAGGGGAUCAGCGCUCCUAACGCCUGCAUUCUUCAAGGGUUACCUGUAUUCUUGAUACAAGUUCUCCUUCAGAUUUAAGUAUUAUAGAUAUUUUUCCAGUCUAUAGCUUACCUAUUCAUUUUCUUAAUAAUGUCUUUUGAUUGAUUUUUAAUUUUUAACUUUGGUGAAUUCCAGUUGUAUACUUUUUUUAUGAUUAGCAUUUUUGUGUCCUAUGAAACUGUUGCCUUCCUCAAUGUCACUAAAUUCUCUUAGGUUUUCUUCUAGCAAGUUUAUGUUUCAAAUUUUCACCCUUAGGUCUAUAAUUCGUCCCAAAUUUAUUUUUGUCUGUAAAGCAAUGUCACGAUUCAUUUUUUUUCUCAAUAUAAUUACCCAGUUGUUUCAAAACUGGUUAUUAAAGUUUUUCUCUUAAUCAUUGAAUUUUCUUGGCACCAAAUUAUUAACUCUUGACAAAAAUAAUUGACCCUUAAGUAAGCAGACAGACAAGCAGUGCUUCUAUUUUAUAGCAAUGUAAAUAAUACACAACUUACACAAAGACUUUUUAGAAGCUAACUAACAGUGGUCCUAUCUAAGUACGUACACCAGAUUUUUUAUAACCACUUUUAAAAUAAAAGUAUUUAGAUUUUAACACAUAGAUUAGGACAGAGAAAGCAUAUGGUGGAAUAAACUGUAUCUUUUUGGCCAGAUGGUGCUAUUUCUAGGUCAUCUUGAUAAAGAGAGGAGGCAAACAUGAAAACUUAAUGAAAAACUAUUUAUGAUGCUGGAGAGAACAUCUUGGCUUUGAGUCACUUUUAAAUCAUAGAAGAGGAUUAUUCCAUAAAAUUAUUUAUAAUGCCUAAAAUUAUUCUUUGCCCAAAUCAUAAAUUUUCAGCAUUACCAAGAAGCCAUUUAGUAUGUAUAGGGUGUUUCAGCAAGUGCAGAGAUGCCCAGGUGGUUGGGAUUCAAUACAACGAGCUGUCACGCUGCACAUUCUUGGAGUACAACCUUAAUGGGCAUUUUCCCACCUGUGCAAUUCCUCUGUUUUCACCCCACUCCAUUCAUAUUUCACAAACUACUCUAAUUAUAGUAUUUAUUAUUGACCUCAGGAAAAAGAAGUUUGAAAGGGUGGAAAAAACAUGCAUUUUGUCUCCAUGGAUAGUAAAUCACUGAGCUAUUGUUCCUUGGGAAUCCCAAUUCAUGAGAAAUUACAUAGACUUUUGCCCUAACACUAAUCAGCUGCCUGAUCUGUAAAUAUUUCAGAUCCUUGCCUGUAUCUAUUUCUCCUUGCAGAAAACUGUAAUUUAUCUAGAUUUUUCUAAUAAUUCACUGACAUUUUACUGCUAUCCAAUGAGUAAAUCAUUGUUGCUUUUGGUAUCUUAUGAUUUUGUUCUUUUGUGUCAAAGUUUAGCUAGUUUCAUCUAUCAGGUUGGAAUAAAAAAUGCAAAUUAUGACUAUACCACUUAUAUAGUUACAUGAUCUACUGACCAAAGUUAAUCAUCACUUUAAUCUUGGUAACUCAUUCAGAGCCCUAAUUGUAAUAGCCUUUGCCUGAGUUACCUAGAGAGUGGUCUCAAUAAUCCCCUUUUAUUUUUCAUGUAGAGAAAAGGGCACACAAAAUGAUAUUAUCUCGAUCACCCAGCACAUGUAUUAAACUAUAACAGACUUUUUAAAUCAUGUGUGAUCUUUUAUUUUUUGACUGAAAGGGACUAAGUUUGCUGCCCAGAGAAGUCUUUAGGGAGCAAGGAAAGGUAAGCAAAUAAACUUAUCUGGAGUCAAAGGUCUCAAGGAAAAUCUUGCUUUCUAUAAAAGGCAGACAACGUCAAGACUCAUAGAUUUUCCCAGGGCUAAAAAUCAGAGCCAAUUGCCUCCCAUCUUGAAAAGACUCAUUCAUCAUGCUGGUUGAAGUAUCACAGAUCUUGUCAAAAUAUUCAUGACUCACAUACGACCCAUCCAAAAGACAAAAGCCAACAAAAUAUUUUACCAAAUUCUAAAAUAGUGUUUGUUUUAUUAUUCUUUGUUAUUCUUCAACAAUUAUUGUUACCUUUACUAUAUGAAAUAUAAUAGCAAUUCCUUGUCUUCAUGGUCUUUCUGUUACAGACAUGUUUUACACUGAUUAUACCACUUUAGUGAAAUUCAUCAUACAUAUUCCUGAUCCAAAUUCCUUUUUUAUUAACCAUAUAUGAGAGAAAGUGGAUAUUAAAAUAAUUUUGAUGGUAAAAUAAGCGAAAAAAUAAAGCAAGCAUGGUUAAAAUGAUUAAAUUAUGGAAAAGUGACCCAUGUGUUUCAGAUAAACUGACGCUUGAGGGUUUUUGUUGUUAUUGUGGUUUAAAUUUUAUUUUAUUUUAAUUUUAAGUUCCAGGAUACAAGUGCAGGAUGUGCAGGUUUCUUACAUAGGUAAAGAUGUGCCGAAAUGGUGGUUUGCUGCACCUCUCAACCUAUCACCUAGGUAUUAAGCCCUACAUGCGUUAGCUCCCUCCCACUGCCCCUGCAGCAGAUCCCAGUGUUUGUUGUUCCCUCCCUGUGUCCAUGUGUUCUCAUUGUCCAGCUCCCACUUGUAAAUAAGAACCUACGGUGUUUGGUUUUCUGUUCCUGUUUUAGUUUGUUGAGGAUAAUGACUUCCAUGAAGCUUGAGUUUUCAUUCUACAAUUUACUGAAUGACAUUUGAGCAGCUAGCUGACUUUUUAAUGCCUUGAUUUUAAUAAUUCAAUGAGUUAUUGGGUGAGAUAAUUUAGAACAGCAUACAUGAUAUCGUUAUUAUUAGUCAAUAAAAUGCUAUUUAUCUUAUUUAUUACUCAUAACAAAAAUAUGUAUAUGACCCUUCGCUAUGUUUGAAUAUGUGAUAUAUUGAAUUGAAUUCACUGUGAGGCUUCAGUAGGUACCUAUAAUAUUCAAAUAUGUUACCUGAAAGCUGUGAAAAAUAUAUUUUUAAAAAUUAGAUUUACAUGCAGUCAAGUUUUCUUUUGAUGACACACUCUCUUGAUAUAUACUAAGUUUUAUACUUGGAAUCUUUCACUUUUAUCCUUACUCAGAAACGUGAAUAUUAAGAAUCAGUAGAGCCAGCUCUUCUACAUGUUCCCUGCCAAUUGCUAUCUUGCCUACUUUUAAAACACCUCUAACUUGAGAAAAUGAAAACCCACAAACUAACAAUUGUUCCAGGGAAGUCCAUGGCAUCACUUGGAACUUUUCAUCAUUAGUCCCAGUUACACUCUUUUGUGUUGUAUACAACAUUGGCAUAUACUCUAGUCAUCUGUAUGCCAAGUUAAAUGAGACUUCAUUCAGCAACCAGUAAUAUGUCAUGCAUCAGAAGUCUCUCUCAUCAUAUUGCUUAUCACCAUCAAAUAGUUUCCAUUUUGUCUUUAUUCCUUAAAAAUUGUCAUGCUUAAAAUUGGUGCAAAUAAUGUAGAUACUUGUGAUUCUAUUAUAUCUACAUAUAUUUUUCUAUUUUGCAAGAGAAGUGAAUUUUAAUAAAUUAGUUCUCUUAGAUUAUAAUGCUACAGAAAAACUGAAUGACCUGACUCGUUGGUGAUUUGAUUGGGACUGGAUUUGUGUUCCUGCCCAAAUCUCGUGUUGAAAUGUAAUCCCCAAUGCUGGAGAUGGGAACUGAUGUGAGGUGAUUGGAUCAUGGGAGUGGUUUCUAAUAGUUUAACACCAUCCCCGAAGUGCUGUUUCGUGAUAGAGUUCUCUGAAGAUCUGGUUGUUUAAAAAUAUGUGUACCUCCCAUCUGUCUCUUCCUCCUGCUCUGGCCAGGUAAGAUUUGCCUGCUUUCUCUUCACCUUCACCUUCCACUGAAGAGAGAGGUUAAAGAUUAACCCCCCCACUCUAAUCACAUGUACUGUCUAUAAAUCUCAAUCUAUCAAGACCCUUUCACGUGGACCCCUUGGAGUUGUAAGCCCUUAAAAGGGUCUGGAGCUCUUUCUUUGGAGAGCGUCAUUCUUGAGAUGCAAGUCUGCUGACGCUCCCAGCCAAAUAAAGCCUCUUCCUUCUUUAACAUGGCAUCUGAGGGGUUUUGUCUGUGGCUCAUCCUGCUGCAUUUCUUGGUUCCCUGACCAGGAAGUGAGGUGAUUAACGGACAGUUGAGGCAGCCCCUUAGGUGACUUACACCUGCCCUGCAGAGCAUCCCUGCAGUGAACUCCAGCCAGCUUGAGCGAUGGGGAUCCUGAGACCGCUCCUGGGUAGGUGUUUGUCCUGGUAGAACUCCUCGUCAGAGUGGUGCAUGGCAGGCCCCCGCAGAUGAUCAAUGCAAUGUCUGAACACUGGGAAGGAACCAUUGCUUGGAGUCCAGACAUCUGGAAUACAGAAGGACCGGUCCUGGGAACUUGCCCACUGCAUUUGAGUGGAAGCGUGGCCUGAUCACCCACUGUGUGCCCUUAUGGGCACUUUGGUCUCAGUAUUGAUUUUGAUUUGGCUUGACCUGUUUGCAAAAAGGAAAGUGAAAGUGAGUGAGUGCUUGAGUUUUAGAUGUGCGAGGUGAGCGAGUGACCUCUUUACCCUUUCCUUCUUGUGGUGUGAGUGUUGUUUUGUCUCGGGAGGAAAAUGGGUGUUAUGCAAAGUAAGCCCACUCUGCUAGGAACUAUGUUGAAAAAUUUCAAGGAAGGAUUUAAUGGAGACUAUGGAGUUACUAUACACCAGGAAAACUUAGGACUUUGUGUGAAAUAGACUGGCCAGCAUUGGAAGUGGGUUGGGCAUCAGAAGGAAACCUAGAUGGGUCCCUUGUUUUUAAAUGUAUGGCACAAAGUAACUGGUAAGCCAAGACACCCAGACCAGUUUCCGUAAAUAGACACUUGGUUACAGCUGGUUUUAGAGCCACCACAGUGGUUAAGAGGACAGGCAGCAGUAGUACUAGUGGCAAAGGGACAGACAGCCAAGGAAGAAUCCUGCUCCACCAACCUAAGGGAGUCAGCUCCUAAAGUCCUGUCUGAUCCAACACCAGAGGAUUCAUGGCAAGAAACAGCACCAGUGGCCCCCUUUCCACCAAGAAGAAAGGUCUCCCACUCCGAUACCCCAUCCUAUACCAAAAAGCCACAAGCUCUGAUGGAUUUGCUCCAAACUGUUAUCCAGACCCACAAACCCCACCUGGGCUGAUUGCCACUAGUUGCUCAUAUGCCUCUUUAACACAGAUGAAAGGAGGAGAGUGCUCCAAGCAGCAACGAAGUGGCUUUAGAACAUGUUCCAGCUGAUUACCAAAACCCCCAAGAGUAUAUGAGGAUCCAAUUACCAGGAACAGAUGCCGAGUGGGACCCAAAUGAAAGACAGGGUAUGCAAAGGCUAAACCGGUACAGGAAAGCCCUUCUGGAAGGGUUAAAGAAGGGAGCUCAGAAGGUCACAAAUGUUAACAAAGUCUCUGAGGCCAUUCAAGGAAAAGAUGAGAGCCCGGCACAAUUCUACAAGAGACUACGUGAGGCCUAUCGUAUGUAUACCCCCUUUGAUCCCAGUAGCCUUGAAAAUCAGCACAUGAUUAACAUGGCUUUAGUUAGUCAAAGUGCAGAAGACAUUAAAGAAAAUUUCAAAAACAGGCUGGGUUCACGGUCAUGAAUACUUCACAGUUACUGGAGAUAGCCAAGCAGGUGUUUGUGAAUAGAGACACGGUAAGCUACAGAGAGAACUGCAGAGAGAGUGAACGCCAAGCCCGGCGAAACGCCGACCUGCUAGCCACAGCUAUAAGAGGGGCCCCCCCAAAGAGACCAGAGAAGGGGGGCCCCAGGAAAAAUACCCAGUCUGUCCAUCCACGCUUGCAGCGUAAUCAGUGUGCUUACUGUAAGGAAAUAGGACGUUGGAAGGACAAGUGCCCACAGUUGAAAGGGAAACAAGGUGACUCUGAGCAGAAGGCCUCAGACAAGGAUGAAGGGGCCUUGUUCAAUCGGGCAGAAGGGUUACUGGACUGAGGGGGACCAGGCUCAUGUGCCCCCAAAGAGCCCAUUGUCAGGAUGACAGUCGGGUACGAGGACAUUUAGUUUCUUGUCAAUAUUGGUGCUGAACAUUCAGUAGUAACCACCCCAGUCGCCCCCUUAUCCAAAAAGACUAUUGACAUAAUCGGAGCCACAGGGGUUUCGGCAAAGCAAACGUUCUGUUUCCCCCAGACCUGCACUGUGUGGGGCAUGAAGUGAUUCAUCAGUUCCUGUACAUGGCUGACUGCCCCUUGCCUUUGCUAGGAACGGACCUACUUAGCAAGCUGAGAGCCACCAUCACUUUUACAAAGCACGGCUCUUUACCGCUAAAGCUACCUGGAACGGGAGUCAUAAUGGCCCUUAUGGUUCCCUGGGAGGAGGAAUGGAGACUCUUCUUAACUGAGCCAGGCCAAGAGAUAGGAGCAACUCUGGCUAAGUGUUGGCCAAAGGUGUGGGUGGAAGACAACGCUCUAGGGUUGGCAAUCAACCAGGCCCCCGUACUCAUAGAAGUUAAGCCUGGGGCCCAGCCAGUCAGACAAAAACAGUACCUGGUCCCCAGAGAAGCUCUUGAAGGUAUCUGGAUCCAUCUCGAGUGCCUGAGGGCCUUUGGAAUUGUAGUCCCUUGUCAGUCUCCAUGGAACAAUCCCCUCCUGCCUGUUCCCAAGCCAGGGGCCAUGGACUGCAGGCUGGCACAGGAUUUGCGCUUGGUCAACCAAGCUACAGUGACUUUGCACCCAGUGGUACCUAACCUGUACACAUUGUUGGGGUUGCUGCCAGCUGAGGACAGCUGGUUCACUUGCCUGGACCUAAAGGACAUUUUCUUUAGCAUCAGGCUAGCUCCUGAGAGCCAGAAACUGUUUGCCUUUCAGUGGGAGGAUCCGGAGUCAGGUGUCACCACUCAGUACCUUGGACCCAGCUUCCCCAAGGGUUCAAGAACUCCCCCACCAUCUUUGGGGGGGUGCUGGCUUGAGACCUCCAGAAGUUUCCCACCAGAGACCUAGGCUGCUUGCUGCUCGAGUACAUCGAUGACCUCCUGUUGGGACACCCCACGGCAGUCGGGUGUGCCAAGGGAACGGAUACCCUACUCCAGCACCUGGAGGACUGUGGGUAUAAGGUGCCCAAGAAGAAAGCUCAGAUCUGCAGACAGCAGGUAAGUUACCUGGGAUUUACUAUCUGAUAGGGGGAGCACAGCCUGGGAUCAGAAAGAAAGCAGGUCAUUUGCAACCUACCGGAGCCCGAGACCAGAAGGCAGGUGAGAGAAUUCUUAGGAGCCAUGGGGUUCUGCAGGUUAUGGAUCCCAAACUUUGCAGUACUGGCCAAGCCCCUGUACAGAGUCACAAAGGGGAGCGACAAGGAACCUUUCAAAUGGGGGUCCCAAAAGCAAUGAGCUUUUCAUGAGUUAAAAGAGAAACUCAUGUCAGCCCCCGCCCUGGGGCUGCCUGACCUGACAAAGCCAUUUACACUAUAUGUGUCAGAGAGAGAGAAGACGGUGGUUGGAGUUUUGACCCAGAUCAUGUGGCUCUGGCCAAUGCUGGUGGCCUACAUCUCUAAACAACUAGAUGGGGUUUCUAAAGGUUGGCCCCCAUGUUUGAGGGCCUUGGCUGCAACUGCCAAUGGACGGAUCCAGUUAUCAGAUAAAAAAAUAGCCAUGCCACAACUGCUAGGAGCCACAGUCGUACUGGCUGUUCUUGAGGCCCCACAUGCUGUGGUGACUUUAAUGAAUACCAAAGGACAUCAUUGGCUAACAAAUGCUAGACUAACUAGGUACCAAAGCUUACUCUAUGAAAAUCCCCACAUAACCAUUGACGUUUGCAACACCUUGAACCCCACCACCUUACUCCUGGUAUCAGAGAGCCCAGUUGAACCUAACUGUGUAGAGUUGUUGGACUCAGUUUAUUCUAGCAGGCCCGACCUCCAAGACCAUUCUUGGAAAUCAGUAGACUGGGAGCUGUAUAUGAACGGGAGCAGCUUCGUCAACCCACAGGGAGAGAGAUGUGCAGGAUAUGCAGUGGUAAUGCUGGGCACUGUCAUUGAAGCCAAAUCAUUGCCCAGGGUACUUCAGCCCAGAAGGCCAAACUCAUUGCUUUAAUUUGGGCCAUAGAGCUAAGUGAAGAUAAGACUGUAAAUAUUUAUACUGACUCUUGGUAUGCCUUCUUAACCCUGCAAGUGCAUGGGGCAUUGUAUAAAGAAAAAGGCCUGUUGAACUCUGGGGGAAAAGACACAAAGUAUCAGCAAGAGAUUCUGCAAUUAUUAGAGGCAGUGUGAAAGCCCCAAAAGGUGGCAGUCAUGUACUGCAGAGGACACCAACAAUCUUUCACCUUGAUUGCCUUGGGGAACUCCCGAGCUGACUCAGAGGCUUGAAAAGCAGCAUCCACCCCCUACCGGGCAUCAGUCACAGCACCCCCUGCUCCUUCAGGCACCUGACCUUGUACCUACUUAUUCUAAAGAAGAGAAGGACUUUCUCCAGGCAGAGGGAGGGCAGGUGAUAGAAGAGGGAUGGAUCCAGUUAUCAGAUAGAAGAAUAGCCAUGCCACAACUGCUAGGAGCUGCAGUCGUACUGGCUGUUCAUGAGACCACCCACCUAGGCCAAGAGUCACUUGAAAAGUUGUUAGGCUGGUAGUUCUACAACUCACAUCCGGCAGCCCUUGCCAAAACAGUGGUGUAUCAGUGUGUCACCUGCUGGCAGCAGAAAGGUAGGCAAAAUGCAAAUGUCCCGCCCAGCAUACAAGCCUGUGGAGCAGACCCCUUUGAAGAUCUCCAAGUAGACUUCACCAAGAUGCCCAAAUGUGGAGGUAACAAGUAUUUGCUAGUUCUAGUGUGUACAUACUCUGGGGGUGGUGGUGGUGGUGGUGUGGAGGUCUGUCCAACACGAACUGAGAAAACUCUUGAAGUAACCUGUGUGAUUCUCCGAGAUCUCAUCCCUAGGUUUGGACUGCCCUUACAAAUAGACUCGGACAACAGGCUGGCAUUUGUGGCUGACUUGGUACAGAAGACAGCAAAGGUAUUGGGGAUCACAUGGAAACUACAUACCACUUACCGACCACAGAGUUCUGGAAAAGUGGAGCAGAUGAAUCAGACUAUCAAAAGUAAUUUAGGGAAAGUGUGUCAAGAAACAGGAUUAAAGUGGGUACAAGCUUUCCCUAUGGUAUUGUUUAAGAUUAGAUGUACCCCUUCUAAAAGAACAGGAUAUUCCCCUUAUGAACUAUUAUAUCAUAGGCUCCCUCCCAUACUACGGGGAUUCCCAGGCACUCCUCAAGAGCUAGGUGAAAUUGAGUUACAGUGACAGCUACAGGCUUUAAGGAAAAUUACACAAACAAUUUCAGCCUGGGUAAAUGAGAGGUGCCCCAUCAGCUUAUUCUCCCCAGUUCACCCUUUCUCCUUAGGUGAUCGGGUGUGGAUCAAGGAUUGGAACGUAACCCCCUUGCAGCCAUUGUGGAAAGGACCCCAGACCGUCAUCUUGACCACAGCCACAAAGGUAGAGGGAAUCCCAGCCUGGAUCCACCACAGCCAUAUAAAACCUACAGCACCUGAGACCUGGGAGGUAAGACCAAGCCAGGACAACCCCUGCAAAGUGAUGCUGAAGAAGACAAUAAGCCCUGCUCCUGUUACACCCAGAAGCUGGCUGGUCCAUGCCUGGCUGAAGCAUAAGGAAACUCAUUGUGGGUCUCAUUUUCCUUAAAUUUUAGACUUGUACAGUAAGUACUUCAACUGAUCUUCCUCAGACUGAGGACUGUUCCCAGUGACAUCAAGUUACUGAGGUAGGGCGAAAAGUUAAAACAGUCUUUCUGUUUUAUAAUUAUUAUGAAGGUACUGGAACUCUAAAAGGGACUUGUUUGUAUAAUGCCACCCAGUACAAGGUAUGCAUGCCAGGAAGUGACCAGCCUGAUGUGUGCUAUAACCCAUCUGAGCCCCCUAUGACUACAGUUUUCCAAAUAAGAUUGAGGACUGGCAACUGGGGAAAAGCUGAUAAGAGUAAAGUAAUAUCUAAAACAG